rnacentral:tRNA from 1 species
GGGGUUGUAGCUCAGUGGUAGAGUGCUCGCCUAGCAUGCAUGAGGCACUGGGUUCAAUCCUCAUCAGCACCA